UACGGAGGGAGCUAGCGUUGUUCGGAUAUACUGGGCGUAAAGCGCACGUAGGCGGCGCAGCAAGUCAGGGGUGAAAUCCCGGGGCUCAACCCCGGAACUGCCCUUGAAACUGCAGUGCUAGAAUCUUGGAGAGGCGAGUGGAAUUCCGAGUGUAGAGGUGAAAAUUCGUAGAUAUUCGGAAGAACACCAGUGGCGAAGGCGGCUCACUGGACCGGCAUUGACGCUGAGGUGCGAAAGCGUGGGGAGCAAACAGG
rnacentral:rRNA from 1 species